GGUAACCUGCCUCAUACAGGGGGAUAACAGUUGGAAACGGCUGCUAAUACCGCAUAAGCGCACAGUACCGCAUGGUACGGUGUGAAAAACUCCGGUGGUAUGAGAUGGACCCGCGUCUGAUUAGGUAGUUGGUGGGGUAACGGCCUACCAAGCCGACGAUCAGUAGCCGACCUGAGAGGGUGACCGGCCACAUUGGGACUGAGACACGGCCCAA
rnacentral:rRNA from 1 species